AUUGAACGCUGGCGGCAUGCCUUACACAUGCAAGUCGAACGGCAGCACGGGAGCAAUCCUGGUGGCGAGUGGCGAACGGGUGAGUAAUGUAUCGGAACGUGCCCAGUCGUGGGGGAUAACGUAGCGAAAGCUACGCUAAUACCGCAUACGAUCUAUGGAUGAAAGCGGGGGAUCGCAAGACCUCGCGCGAUUGGAGCGGCCGAUAUCAGAUUAGGUAGUUGGUGGGGGAAAGGCUCACCAAGACGACGAUCUGUAGCUGGUCUGAGAGGACGACCAGCCACACUGGGACUGAGACACGGCCCAGACUCCUACGGGAGGCAGCAGUGGGGAAUUUUGGACAAUGGGCGCAAGCCUGAUCCAGCAAUGCCGCGUGCAGGAUGAAGGCCUUCGGGUUGUAAACUGCUUUUGUACGGAGCGAAAAGGCUCUCUCUAAUACAGGUGGCUCAUGACGGUACCGUAAGAAUAAGCACCGGCUAACUACGUGCCAGCCGCCGCCGUAAUAC
rnacentral:rRNA from 1 species